rnacentral:rRNA from 1 species
UACGUAGGGUGCAAGCGUUGUCCGGAAUUAUUGGGCGUAAAGAGCUCGUAGGCGGUCUGUCACGUCGGCUGUGAAAACCCGAGGCUCAACCUCGGGCCUGCAGUCGAUACGGGCAAACUAGAGUACUGCAGGGGAGACUGGAAUUCCUGGUGUAGCGGUGAAAUGCGCAGAUAUCAGGAGGAACACCAAUUGCGAAGGCAGCUCGCUGGGACGUUACUGACGCUGGAGACGCGAAAGCGUGGGGAGCAAACAGG